ACUAAUAUUGAAGUUGCAUUUGUUCCACCAAUCUGAUGAAGUCACACAGCUUUUGGUGGUGACUCGGACAGUGUUGCAGAAGGUGCCUGUGGAGAUAGAAGUGUCUUCUGUUCUUUAUAAUUGCAGUCUGCGGGAUCAAGGAUGACUCACUUCCACAUCAGGUCCAUGGGUUCUGAAAGAGUUGGUAAGGCCAAUACACAAGCUGCAGCCUCUGCCACACAUUGGCCGGGUGGUGCUUGAAGGGUCAGCUGGGAUCUACAAAGCCGCUGUGCUUGUGAAUUAUGACUCCUUGAUGGGGAACACUGACGGCAAUGGGAAAUGCAGCCAGCAUUACAAUAACCAGUAUCAUCACAUCAGCAGCAGAGCAUGAAUGAUUCCUGUUGUACCCUGGCCAAACAAUGCUGCCAAACCUGCUGACCUUUUCCAGCCAUUUCUAUUUUUGGCCCCCACCCCUAUCCUAUCCUUGUCACUCUACAUUCCCUUUAACUAGCCUACACAUCCCUGGAUACUAUGUGGCAGUCCACUUAACCUGCACAUUUUUAGACUGUGGGAGAAACUGGAGCACCCAGCAGAAACCUACUCAGACACGGGGAGAGCGUAGAAACUCCGCACGGACAGGCGUCUGAGGCUGGAACCAAACCCAGGUCCCCGGCACUGUGAGGCAGCCGUGCUAACCACUGAGCCACUGUGCCACCCUAAUCAACACUUAGCUAACAUUAAAGCCCUUCAGAACAUAAAGUUGAGAAAUAAAGGAACCAAGUUCUGAGUUACUGCCACCCCGAGCCGAGAGACUCACACGUGCGACCGAGAGAUCGAUGCAAGAGUCUGCCAUGGGCCAAGAGGAUGCCUUACCCGGUCCACGCUGAGGUUAGGAGUGAAGAUAAGGAGAAAGGAAACACCGAGAGAAAAUAGAAAAGACAAAGCAAUGAGGAAGAAACAGACUGAGCUACAGAAUCAUAGAAUCCCUACAGUGUGGAAACAGGCCAUUCGGCCCAACAAGUUCACACCUCUGGCUGAAGCGCCCUACUCUGCCACCAUCUUUGUGGAAACCAAGCAAUUAAUGUGUCUUGAUGCUGUUAAAGGCACCAUAUAAAUGCACAUUCUUUCUCCUCUACAGACCAAAUAUGAAAAUAAAUGUGAAUAAC